CACGCCGUAAACGAUGAGUACUAGGUGUAGGGGGUAUCGACCCCCCCUGUGCCGCAGUAAACACAAUAAGUACUCCGCCUGGGAAGUACGAUCGCAAGAUUAAAACUCAAAGGAAUUGACGGGGACCCGCACAAGCAGCGGAGCAUGUGGUUUAAUUCGAAGCAACGCGAAGAACCUUACCAGGACUUGACAUCCACGGAAUCCUUAAGAGAUUAGGGAGUGCCCUUCGGGGAACCGUGAGACAGGUGG
rnacentral:rRNA from 1 species